CAGUUUCUCCUGAUGUAGUGUCAUCCAUCAUUUACAGCAUGAUUGACUUAUCCCAGCACAUACCACCAGGUUGCAUCAUAUACACUGGACAGUGCAAUGUUACCGCGACAAACCAAACAGACAUUUGUGUUGGAGUGAACAGCACAAUGCUGCAGCUCAAUCUUGACAGCGGACUGAUGAACGGAAGUUUCUGUCACUUUGCUGUUGAGGAAUUUGCUUGUGCCUCGCUGUCAUCGUUGAAAGCAAAUGAUCUGGCAGCGA